UAGCUCAUUCGUAAGUCGCAUAAGACCAUAUAGUUUCAAAAGCCGGACAAGUCGAUUAUUGUCUAAGAAAUUCUAUCAGCUCAACAAUAUUAAUCAAAUUCAAACUUGUAGAUUUCGUUAGACAAGUGGACAAGUUCAAACGUGAAAUCCAUUCUGUUGAAUUUUUUUUAACUUUUGCACACGUGUAAAAUAAAAAGUUCCAAAGAUGAAAUCUAUUAUUUUGCUAGCAUUGUUAUCUAAUUUUAUUGUAUCGUUUGUUGAUGAAGGUGACUGUAACGAAGCUUUCGUCCCUGUACAUGUUCCGCAAAAUUAUCAAGAGAAUUAUUGGAAGCAGGUUUUAGUCACAAAUAAAUUCAUUGAGAGUGCUUCUAGAGCAGGUA